rnacentral:tRNA from 1 species
UCCCUGAUAGCUCAGUUGGUAAAGAAUCUGCCUGCAAAGCAGGAGACAUGGGUUCAAUCCCUGGGUUGGGAA